rnacentral:RNase_P_RNA from 1 species
GCAAGUUAAAGACAGCUGCUGGUUUAUUUUAUAAACUAAGGAAACUCCGCCCAUCAUUACAGACUAUGGCGUUUAAAGACGUAUGCCGAGAGGUAUGACACUGGAGCAGAAACGACACGGCUUUAGAUGGUUGACUAUGAUAUUUAAUUGAGGACAUCUGAAGAAUCGGUGAAACGGCCAUUCCAUAGGAUGCAAGAACAAAGGUGCUGAUGAUGAACUGUUCUAGGCAAGGUAGUUCGCUAAGAUGAAUGCUGUUAAACAGAAGGUGGGUUACUCUUAACAGGC